rnacentral:rRNA from 1 species
ACAUGGUGUGAAAAACUCCGGUGGUAUAAGAUGGGCCCGCGUCUGAUUAGGUAGUUGGUGAGGUAACGGCCCACCAAGCCGACGAUCAGUAGCCGACCUGAGAGGGUGACCGGCCACAUUGGGACUGAGACACGGCCCAGACUCCUACGGGAGGCAGCAGUGGGGAAUAUUGCACAAUGGAGGAAACUCUGAUGCAGCGACGCCGCGUGAGUGAAGAAGUAAUUCGUUAUGUAAAGCUCUAUCAGCAGGGAAGAUAGUGACGGUACCUGACUAAGAAGCUCCGGCUAAAUACGUGCCAGCAGCCGCGGUAAUACGUAUGGAGCAAGCGUUAUCCGGAUUUACUGGGUGUAAAGGGAGUGUAGGUGGCCAUGCAAGUCAGAAGUGAAAAUCCGGGGCUCAACCCCGGAACUGCUUUUGAAACUGUAAGGCUAGAGUGCAGGAGGGGUGAGUGGAAUU